rnacentral:misc_RNA from 3 species
ACACCCUCAAGCACUGCUUGGUGUUGGGCGUCUGUCCCGCCUUCGCGCGUGGACUCGCCCCAAAGACAUUGGCAGCGGUCUCUGGCACCUCAACGCGCAGUACAAUGCGUAUUUGGGGCGCCGUUGGUCGCAACCAUUAAGCUAUCACCGU